rnacentral:rRNA from 1 species
UACGUAGGGUGCAAGCGUUAAUCGGAAUUACUGGGCGUAAAGCGUGCGCAGGCGGUUCGUUGUGUCGGCGGUGAAAUCCCCGGGCUCAACCUGGGAAUGGCGAUGGUGACUGCAAGGCUAGAGUUUGGCAGAGGGGGGUAGAAUUCCACGUGUAGCAGUGAAAUGCGUAGAUAUGUGGAGGAACACCGAUGGCGAAGGCAGCCCCCUGGGUCAAAACUGACGCUCAUGCACGAAAGCGUGGGGAGCAAACAGG